CUGAGUACUACACUCUCUACCCUUUGCGAACUAUUAUACCUGUUGCUUCGGCGGCGCCCGCAAGGGUGCCCGCCGGUCUCAUCAGAAUCUCUGUUUUCGAACCCGACGAUACUUCUGAGUGUUCUUAGCGAACUGUCG
rnacentral:misc_RNA from 1 species